ACGGAAUAGAUACCCUGGUAGUCCACGCCCUAAACGAUGUCGACUGGUUGUUGGGGGUUUGACACUCUCAGUAAACGAAAGCUAAACGCGUGAAGUCGACCGCCUGGGGAGUACGGCCGCAAGGUUAAAACUCAAAGGAAUUGACGGGGACCCGCACAAGCGGUGGAUUAUGUGGAUUAAUUCGAUGCAACGCGAAAAACCUUACCUACCCUUGACAUGUCCUGAAUCCUGGAGAGAUCCGGGGGUGCCCGAAAGGGAACGGGAACACAGGUGCUGCAUGGUUGUCGUCAGCUCGUGUCGUGAGAUGUUGGGUU
rnacentral:rRNA from 1 species